CUCCGUCGCCGUGGAGACGGUGAAGCUAAGUUAGCUUCAAACUACUCGAGUUGCCGACAGCUACGCUCGUUACUAGCCAUGGGGUGAACACCAUGCUAGGAUCAAUACAGGCCCCAUUAGGGACCCCUAUUGGGUCUGGCUUCUGAGCAUCGACCCACCCACCCCGGUCUGUGAAGAGACCCUACAGGCCACAACCGGCUGCUACAGCACUCGUCCAUCUCUCCAUCGAGCCGCAGCUCCUAAAGCUUCCUGUGAGAGAACAGCCAAGCAGCUGUUUGCCAGUGGGACGGGACUAUAAUGCAUUCAGAGUUGCAAUGGAUUGUGGCUGAUUUCUGAGGCGUUCGAAUUUCAUUUGCAAAUGUGUUUGUGCAAAAUAAAGCAGGGAUGAGACAGA